GAUGAGGGAUAAUAUGGCCCAUUUCGGUGGGACUAAAAAUCCCACGUGUAAAAUCGCUAGUUUGGUAAACAAACAAGGAGGGACUUGAAUGACGAGGGAUUUUAGGAGAGGAUAAUUAGAAUUCCCUCCUUCGAGUUCCGUCUGGAGAGGUGUUAUUUUGAAAUUCCACAACGCCAAGAACGACGACUACGCAACGGGCUUGAUUUCUCGCUCUCUCUUCUUCCUGCAUCGCUGAUCUCCACCUUGGGCUUUCGUUUCUCCUUGUAUUCUAGGGUUUGAUGGUUGAGUUUUGGAUAUUUGCAUCUCUAAUUUGAUCGAUUCAUGGUUUGGUAUUAGUAUUCUUGAAAAUUCUUCAUCUGUGUUUAUGAUUUUGUUAUCUAAUUUGAUUUCAUUGGCUGCUGGCUUGUGUUUAUUUCGUUUGAAUUAUGGUUUCUGUGAUUUCUACUACUGGGUUAGCUGCAAAUACCUCAUUUUGGGAUUGGCUCUCUGCGUCAAUUCCAUGUUCGUGUUAAGAUCUUCAUAUUUUUUGGGUUAGCAAUUGAAGUGUUUCUUUCAAUUGAAUUAUUCAUUGGCUGCUGGCUUGUGUUUCUUUCAUUUGAAUUAUUCAUAUUUUUUUUGCUUGUGUUGGAUUGAAUUUCUUCCUCAUGUAUCUGUUAUACAUUUCUUCUUGGUUUCAAUAUCUGUUAUGAUUCUCUUUUUUAAUCUCUAAUAAAAGUGGUGCUUCUCAACUCUUAUUCCUACGAAUCAAUCUGUAGCAGAGCAACUAGUACCUCAAAAUUCAACUGCACCUGACUAGUUUUCAACUUGAGAAUCUUUUAUUAUAUCAAAUCAACUGUACAGAUUUUGUUGGAAUCACCUGACCAGUUUAGGAAUUCAACUCGAUUGCCAGCACCAUUUCAGCUAUGCUGUGCCUUUGUGGUGAUAAGAAACUGGAACAACCAACACUAGAUAUGUGAUAAGACUCCAUGAACAGCUAAUAUAUCUUGUUUAAAAUGCAGAGCAUCUCUCUUUGGAUUUUCAAUUUCAUUAUGCAUAUGUAUGGUGGUUUCACUCUCCUAUUAAAUAGUGUAUGUGACUGAAGAUAAGAGUAUGAUAGAGAAAGAUGUUGCACAGAGCACAUUGUAUAUAUUGAAAUUGUUCUGCAAGUCUUAAUAUUUGGUAAAUUACAUAAGCUCUGUUCAUAUUUUCAUUUUCGCCUCCAUAGAGUGCUUUUCUAGUAUCAAUUUGGGGAUUGUACUCUCAUGUGUACAAGUAAACUUGACAGCAAGGACCACUUUGGUUAACAGAGAUAAUUUGCAGGGGUAGUUGGGAUUAGUAAAAAAAAAAAAACAGAGACCAAAUACUAAAGAAGGUAAAGCACGCUAUGAAAAAAAAAUAAAAAUAAAAAAAACUGGAAAUGGUUUUCAUGAUUUGAGUGCAUAGGUGAUUCAAGUGCACUUACUUGUGUGCUUUCAUCAUGAUUGAAAAUAGUACAAAAAUUGCAAGGUUGUUCUAUGUUGUUCAAUUGCCUAGUGCUCCUUUUGAUAUUUUUACCCACCUUUGAUCGUAGUUUGUAGUGUAGGACAUUGCUUUAUAAUUUAACCGGUGUAUCUUCUUUCCUUUUCUCAUAUUACCACAAAGUUAUUACUUUUAACUUUUACGCUUGCUGUGAUUGCUUGUAGACCAGAAUAUCCUACUUGCCCUAUUCCACUCAUAACAAUGUUAUAGUUAUUCAACAAUUGGUAUCAGAGUUAAACGUGUACUGGCCAUUUCGUAACUACUCCAGUACCAAUCAGCACACCUCUUUUGGUCUCUCUUGUUGUGUAUUUAUAGAAUUGGGAAUGCACCAACCCACUUGAAUCAUCAAAAAAGUUGUGACGAAUUGGUUGAGAUUCCCACCACAUUGGAAUGGAUAAGAAGCAAAAGGGUAUGAAAAAGGAAGAUGAUGGAGACAAAUACUUGCAUUGGAGAGCAAAUACCUGAUUUAGAAGGAGACCUUUGUUGGAGAGUAAUUGAAGUGUUUGCUAACAAUGCGACAAAGUUUCAAAUAUUGAAGAAAAUUCCACUUGAAAAGAAAAGUGAAUUUGUUUUUAAGUCAAUGCCACGAGACUUUUGAAAUUUGUAUAGUUUUGUUGUGACGUUUAGGAUGUUAUCACUAUUAUGUUAUUAGAAUGUUCGACCUUUUAAGUCUAUGAAUUCAAGCAAGACCAAAA